CCCCUGCCUUGGAGACAGCUGAUUAUGGACUGAAACCACUCAAACUGAUGUAAUCCCAGCUCUUAAAAGGCUGAGAUGGAAGGAUUACCAUGAAUUCGAGGCCAGCCUGGAGUACAAAGUGAGUUCAAGGCCAGCCUAAACUACACAGUGAGAUCCUGCCUCAAAAAACAACAAACAAACAAACAACAAAAAACUAUGGAUGCAAUUCCAUCAGGCUCCAGUGACUCAGCCAGAGCUAAAAAUCAUCUUACAGAGUCUAAGGUCAGCAGAUAACUUUAGACCUAAGUUAACGGCAACUGUCCACAGAAGAAGUUAAAUCAGAGGUAGGACUUUACUUGUAAGCCUCUUCCAUGAUUCCUCUUGUAUUGUGGAAAGGGCCGAUAAUAAUGACACCUGGUUUUCCAAUCACUGGGUCAUGGCCUGAAAGAACUUUCUACUUCUACAGUCACAAUUGGAUCAGGUCCAGGUGCUCUGUAUGACCACCACAAUUCCCCCUCUUCACUUAGUUGCCUGCCUGCAAUCCACUAUUCCUGUACAUCCAUAACCACCCUGACUACCAUGGAUAAAGCCAAGAUGAGGGAGGCAUAAGAGAGAAUGUUGGCCAAGGACAUUCAUCUUGGAUGGUGGAUCUAUGUAGCUAAUGAGCUCAUGGAACACUCUCACACCAGAAAGAGACAUACAGUGGAUGAGGAAAGGGACAGGGUUGUCCUUUUCAGAGUAAGGGGCUGCCAAUCAGGUACCAACUCCUACCAACAGUCCAUCUUACCAUUCCCAUGGAUGCCUGGCCCUGUCUCUAAGUAGCAGGUGUUUUGAAAGUCUCACUUCCAAGAAAAGGCAGAUUGGGGUGUCAAUCUACAGGGAUAUGUGAAAAUGCAGAUUAUUUGGAAAUGAGAGUCCAACUUUAUGAGUUAGAAUAUAUUAAGUACUAGAAUGGAGAUAUUAAAGCAAAGGAGAAUUGUAUUCAUUUUGACUGCAGGAAUAGCUUCAUUGAGACAUUUCUUUCAUUCAGUUUAUUAAAUACGAGCCAGGUUUGUGCUCAUGAACAAGUUAGACCUAACUUCCAACCUCAUAGAAUUGACACUCACCUUAGGCAAGUUGCUUUAACCCCUUCUAUGCCUCACCUGAAAAUUUGGUGGUAAUGAUAUUGACAAUGUUAUUAUUAACAAUACCAAUGUCAUAGCAUAGAGUAAUAUCCUCAGCCCUUUCUAAUUUUUAUUUUUAGACAUGUUUUCACUAAGCAGCUAUGUUGCCCAGGUGGGGCUUGAAUUUAUGAUCUUCCUGCCUCAGUCUCCCAGAGUGCUAGGAUUACAGUUGUGCAACACAGUGUCCAGCUACAAAGGCCAGAUUUUGAAGACAGAAUAGUGAGCUAGCUAACAAAGAUGAAAGUCACAGACAAAAGCCCAGAA